UACGUAGGGUGCGAGCGUUAAUCGGAAUUACUGGGCGUAAAGCGUGCGCAGGCGGUUAUUUAAGCCAGUCGUGAAAUCCCCGGGCUUAACCUGGGAAUUGCGAUUGGGACUGGAUGGCUAGAGUGCGGCAGAGGGAGGUGGAAUUCCACGUGUAGCAGUGAAAUGCGUAGAGAUGUGGAGGAACACCGAUGGCGAAGGCAGCCUCCUGGGCCAGCACUGACGCUCAUGCACGAAAGCGUGGGGAGCAAAC
rnacentral:rRNA from 1 species